rnacentral:lncRNA from 1 species
CAAGGAGCUGUUUGCAAGAAGCAAAACCUCGUGUAUUUUCUGCUCAACAGGAGGCUGCCUUAGCCCUGCUGGAGGUGAAGCAAAGCCUGAUCUGUGGAAGCCCGGGAAUGGCAGUGCAGCACCUGCUCAGGUGGCACCUGUGGGACACUGUCAGGACUCCUCCCAGCUGCCAGCGAGGGACAGGAGGGGCAGUUUGCAUAGCCUGAGGUAAUGAUGGCUUUGGUGCAGAGAGGAUGGGCACUGGGAUGUACUUCAGGGUAGAGCCAGCUCACUAAUUCGUGCUGUGAAGGUGGAAAACAUCUCCUUGCCUUGGUGAGGAAUUAAAGGAUCAAGGUAGGCAGCAGCAGCCUGUGAGUAGGGUGCUGCAAGAGGGAAGUUGCAGUCAAAGGCCACUGCUCUUCCACCUCCUUGUGGUUCCCUUUUCCUCCAGAUGAUGCUGAUACAGGUCAGAAAGAGAGGCUGCCAUGGCCCAUGCCAGGAUAUCUCCUUUAUUUGUUCAGGUGACAGCAUUUCCUGUGCAAAGGACUGCCAGGUGCUGAGCUGCUCAUGAAUGCUGCUCCCCACCAAGGCUGAUCCAGCAGCAAGCCCUCCGAGGACACCAGUGACUCUGGCUGAUGCUCCCCUGUCCCAUCCUCAUCAUGUGAUGCCUUAAAAACGCUUCAGACUUGCAUGAGCUGUGUUUACAGUUGCCUCAAGGACAAGGAACAACAUUUCUCCAUUAUGCUUCUGUUGCCUCAAAUAGUCACAAAUAGUGUCACAAAUAAUUCCUGUCUGGUUUCAGUGUCACAAAUAGUGUCACAAAUAAUUGCUGUCUGGUUUCACAUACCAGCCUUGGAGCAGCAAUGGAGACACUGGUCCUGACCAGGAGAGCACAGCUCCAGCCAUGUAAGAGGGCUAGAAAACAGGGUCUUCUGCAUGAGGAGUGAUCUCUCUGCAGUCUUGGAAACGCUGUCUCACAGCUGGUUUGAGUUUCUGAUUCAUUUUGACAGCACCUGACACAUUCCUGCCUUAAAGGCCAAAGCUGCUCCUUGCCAGCCCCGUGUGACAAAUGAGAAUAUCCGUGAUGGGUUAAUCUGCUCUUCAUCAGCUGAGCCUGAGCGCUGCUCUUGGAAAGGGACUGGGGACGUUCAGCACAGGCACUUCUGGGGCUGUCAAAAGCUCAGCCUGAGCUUUGCUGAAGCAGACCAGAACUGAUGGAUGUCAUAGCUGAGAAACACUGGGGCAUCAAGGCAGGUGCCAAGUUUUCCCAGUCACUCGGGAUUACUCUGUCAGUGAACCUGACUGCAUAACUAAAUCUGCACAGGUGCCCUCCAGACAGAACAGGUUUUGCAGGACCUCACUGGCUAAAGAGCUCCAAAAAAGGUACUUUGUGUUGUUCUAAUCUGUGUUGCUGGAACUGAAAAAUAGACAAAGGAAUUUGAAAAUAUUUUGAAAAAACCCUGAACCAACUUGGUUUAUUCCAUGUAUGUCCACAGUGGCACCGCAGGUUUGGCUGGAGUGUUUGGCAUAGUAAAAUU